rnacentral:misc_RNA from 1 species
UACGGAGGCCCCGAGCGUUGUUCGGAUUUACUGGGCGUAAAGCGAGUGUAGGUGGCGAGAUAAGUCAGAUGUGAAAGCCCUAGGCUUAACCUAGGAUGUGCAUUUGAUACUGUUUUGCUUGAGUGCGGUAGAGGAAAUUGGAAUUCCAGGUGUAGGGGUGAAAUCCGUAGAUAUCUGGAGGAAUACCAAUGGUGAAGGCAGAUUUCUAGCCCGUAACUGACACUGAGACUCGAAAGCGUGGGGAGCAAACAGG